rnacentral:rRNA from 1 species
UACGUAGGUGGCGAGCGUUAUCCGGAUUUAUUGGGCGUAAAGCGUGCGCAGGCGGUUUGUUAAGUAUAGAAUUAAAGCCCGAAGCUUAACUUCGGUUCGUUCUAUAAACUGGCAGACUCGAGUGUGGUAGAGGCAAACGGAAUUUCUAGUGUAGCGGUAAAAUGCGUAGAUAUUAGAAGGAACACCAGUGGCGAAGGCGGUUUGCUGGGCCAUUACUGACGCUCAUGCACGAAAGCGUGGGGAGCAAAUAGG